GACGAACGCUGGCGGCGUGCUUAACACAUGCAAGUCGAACGGAAAGGCCCUGCUUUUGUGGGGUGCUCGAGUGGCGAACGGGUGAGUAACACGUGAGUAACCUGCCCUUGACUUUGGGAUAACUUCAGGAAACUGGGGCUAAUACCGGAUAGGAGCUCCUGCUGCAUGGGGGGGGUUGGAAAGUUUCGGCGGUUGGGGAUGGACUCGCGGCUUAUCAGCUUGUUGGUGGGGUAGUGGCUUACCAAGGCUUUGACGGGUAGCCGGCCUGAGAGGGUGACCGGCCACAGUGGGACUGCGAUACGGCCCAGACUCCUACGGGAGGCAGCAGUCGGGAAUCUUGCACAAUGGGCGGACGCCUGAUGCAGCAACGCCGCGUGCGGGAUGCCGGCUUUCGAGUUGUAAACCGCUUUCGCCUGUGCCGAAGCGUGAGUGACGGUAAUGGGUAAAGAAGCACCGGCUAACUACGUG
rnacentral:rRNA from 1 species